GUGCUACCUGGCAAGGGAGGAACCAAGUUCAUGAAGGAGGUUCUCCCUGGAUGAUGCUAGCCCAUUGCAAUUCAGGUGUGUUGAUGCAUGUGAUGUUCCCAAAUGCGGGAUACUUGACUGCAAAAUUUGUGGUAGUUGCGGGGGGGUUUCUGCGUUUGCGCUCUUCCCUG